rnacentral:lncRNA from 10 species
AGUCAGUUAGUGACAGCUAAUCCCAGCAUAAUUCGGCAAAGGGAUUUUACAGCUGUCGAGAGGGUGAAGAAAUAGAUUCUUGAUUAAGGAAAUGGAAAACAGCUCCAAAAGCCAAAUGACAGAACGUCUCCAGCAAUCAAUAGACUGCAGAAUCAGUCAGAAUCAGAAUCCCUGCCACGUUGAGAAGCCACAACUUCAGCUGCUCACUCCAGACUCAUGCUGCUUGAAUCAGAAUCUGGCUUGAAAAAUGGGCCCCUGUCUCCUCAUUUAACCCAGUUCAGAAGUCAGGACUCACACAGGUACAUGACAUUGGCUGCGCCAGCAUCACAGCUGGAAUCCCGGCUAUAAAGAAGUCUGAGAAAGGCAGUUCUUAGCUUUUCCACUUUGGACUACAGGAAGAUACAGAAGGAGGUUGAAAUGAUUAUUUUGUGAUCCAGUCCAUACAUGCACCACACUCUAAACAUUCAAAUUAUAAGAAAUGUAUUCAAUGGCUUUAAAUGACUCUGAAAUACUUUUGAUUAAACAUUUUUUAAAAAGCAUGAA